rnacentral:rRNA from 1 species
AACGAACGCUGGCGGCAGGCCUAACACAUGCAAGUCGAGCGCGCCCUUCGGGGUGAGCGGCGGACGGGUGAGUCACGCGUGGGAACGUGCCCUUCUCUGCGGAAUAGCAUCGGGAAACUGAGAGUAAUACCGCAUACGCCCUUUGGGGGAAAGAUUUAUCGGAGAAGGAUCGGCCCGCGUUGGAUUAGGUAGUUGGUGGGGUAAUGGCCCACCAAGCCGACGAUCCAUAGCUGGUUUGAGAGGAGGCUCAGCCACACUGGGACUGAGACACGGCCCAGACUCCUACGGGAGGCAGCAGUGGGGAAUCUUAGACAAUGGGGGCAACCCUGAUCUAGCCAUGCCGCGUGAGUGAUGAAGGCCUUAGGGUUGUAAAGCUCUUUCAGCUGGGAAGAUAAUGACGGUACCAGCAGAAGAAGCCCCGGCUAACUCCGUGCCAGCCGCCGCAGUAAGAC